AGAGGAGAGAACCAGGACUUUUACUCAAAUAGAAGAAAGCCAAUGCAGUUAAAGAAUUAGUUGGCAGAAAAACUCACGAUUCAGCUCUGAAACACACAGGACUGUCACACAAUAAAAAGAGAAGAUUUGAGACAACUACAAUGGAGACAACUGAAGGCUGAGUCUGGAGCAUUGAGUGGAAAGCAGUCCCUGUUCACUCUUUAAAUCAUUACGGUUUAACCCUUUUAACGGAGACCCUCUUGUCCUGGAGAUCCUGCUGUUCUGACUGCCUGACCUCUGUCAACUUCCAGAUGACCCUACAGGACAAGCACCAGGAGAAACCUGAGCUCCCGAUUGCAAUAAUACAACCCCUUGACGUGGCUCAUGUGCAGUUUACACCUGUCUCCCCCAUCCCCUUUGGGACCUGCUGAGGCAGGGACAUCUCUAUGCCCCUUGUCAGCUUGAAGAAGGUACAGAAGUCUUUUCCCUUUUCCCAAUGAAUUUGGGACCCAGCCUUUUGAGGGGGGAAAUGAUGGAAUCCUAGCCACUGCCCCCAGACUCAACAUUACAACUUUCUCAUAUGCCUCACUGCCCAUGUUCUCAAACACAUCAUCUAUUUAGCCUCAGACAGGACCACAAUAGCCAGCCAAUCAGAAAGCAACACCAACAGGACAUGGACCAGGAUGUUUGACCACUAAAUCAUAGCCUAAGUGGACAUUGCACAGUAAUAGCAAAGAACUGUCUUAAGGUGAACUUAUGAUGUAGAAAAGCUUAUCAUAAUAUCAUUAUCAUACAUAAGUGUGUCCCCCUGCCCUGCAAUGGGUUUUUCUAUGCCUUAUAGGUAACCACAUGUGCUGUUUCACUAAGGUGAGGGCCCCUCCUCAUUUUAGUAAACUCUUCCUCUGUUUUAAUGAUCAUAUAUUCUGCAAUGCAUAUUCAUAUAUUCUGUUAUAUAAUCAGCUUCAUUCAUUCUAUAAAAUUCCCUAUCCUGUUCUGCCAAGGGGCCAGUCCUUCUUGGAGCCUAGCCCUCUUUCUGAGAGGCAUAAUUCUCAAUAAAUGCCAUUUCUUGGUUUGGAGAUGGUCUGAAUCUGUGAAUUCUUUUGAGAAGACCUUAAAGCCUGCCUUGAACCUCAACACUAUCAGUUCAUAUUUCCAGGAACACUGACUAUAUUAGUAUGCCAUCUUCCC